UGGAUAGCACAUCCAGCCUUCAGGUGGCUGCUAAUAUGACAUGUACAGCUUCAGACAUUUAUGUGAGCGCCCAGAAUAACAGGACAAAGUUGGUGACAACCUGAGGUCAUCUUGCCUAUAAACCACCCAACCACUGCCUGCAGGCUAGAUGAAGUGUGUAUGAAGGCAUCACUGACAUCAGCAAGUGGAAAGUAAAGAAAACAAUUCUAAGAGUUUUUGCCACUGUGGUGCACAGAAGUUGGAUGGAAACAAAAUACAGAGGCAAUGCCCACCAAAUCUUGGUGGCUGAGGAGCUGCUGAACACCUUGAUGGACAGGGCUGGGAUACAGAAGAGCUUCUUCAACAGGAUGAGGCUGGUUUGGCUGAAUAUGAGAGCAGAGGUUUCCCCAGGAUCUUCAGACAUGAGCCUCAACGUACUGUGAAUUUUGUUUAAAGGAUGAGAUGAAGAAAGGGCUGGGAUACAUACGCUGCUGCUACCAGCAGCUCGGGGCAGGGUUUCAGGAGCUGCUCGCUUCCCACCAGGCACGAGC
rnacentral:lncRNA from 1 species